GCCAAUGGCACUGCCCGGUAGCUAAAUGCGGAAGAGAUAAGUGCUGAAAGCAUCUAAGCACGAAACUUGCCCCGAGAUGAGUUCUCCCUGACCCUUUAAGGUCCUGAAGGAACGUUGAAGACGACGACGUUGAUAGGCCGGGUGUGUAAGCGCAGCGAUGCGUUGAGCUAACCGGUACUAAUGAACCGUGAGGCUUAACCUUACAACGCCGAAGGUGUUU
rnacentral:rRNA from 1 species